rnacentral:rRNA from 1 species
GACGAACGCUGGCGGCGUGCUUAACACAUGCAAGUCGAACGGAAAGGCCCUGCUUUUGUGGGGUGCUCGAGUGGCGAACGGGUGAGUAACACGUGAGUAACCUGCCCUUGACUUUGGGAUAACUUCAGGAAACUGGGGCUAAUACCGGAUAGGAGCUCCUGCUGCAUGGUGGGGGUUGGAAAGUUUCGGCGGUUGGGGAUGGACUCGCGGCUUAUCAGCUUGUUGGUGGGGUAGUGGCUUACCAAGGCUUUGACGGGUAGCCGGCCUGAGAGGGUGACCGGCCACAUUGGGACUGAGAUACGGCCCGGACUCCUACGGGAGGCAGCAGUGGAGAAUAUUGCACAAUGGGCGGAAGCCUGAUGCAGCAACGCCGCGUGCGGGAUGACGGCCUUCGGGUUGUAAACCGCUUUCGCCUGUGACGAAGCGUGAGUGACGGUAAUGGGUAAAGAAGCACCGGCUAACUACGUG